UACGAGGGGGGCAAGCGUUGCUCGGAUUCAUUGGGCGUAAAGGGUGCGUAGGCGGCGCGGUAAGUCGGGUGUGAAAUCUUGGAGCUUAACUCCGAAACUGCAUUCGAUACUGCCGUGCUUGAGGACUGGAGAGGAGACUGGAAUUUACGGUGUAGCGGUGAAAUGCGUAGAUAUCGUAAGGAAGACCAGUGGCGAAGGCGGGUCUCUGGACAGUUCCUGACGCUGAGGCACGAAGGCCAGGGGAGCAAACGGG
rnacentral:rRNA from 1 species